GGUUCUGUCUGGACCCUCCCUGAGCUGGCACAGCUGGCCCUGGAGGCCUCAGAAGCAGCAGAUUUGAGGGUUCACCAUUCAGGACAGUGCGCUAACCAGAGACCCUGGGGUUGAGAGGCCCGGCAAGGGCUCCCUGCGCUAAGUGCUAAGUGUGACUGUGGGGCGUUGCCUCAGACCCUCCCAUCAUCUCCCCUCGGAGAGGAAGGGCUCCAGCAGAGGGACCAUAAAGCAAAGAGAGCCGGUCAAAGUCUUGGAGGUGGAAACGAGUUGCCAACUGAUUUACCAUUUUCCUCAAGGUUCCUUCCAUCUCAGGCCCCUGCUCUUUGCAUCCCCACCAAAUGGCUCUGCUAAAGAAAGACUCAGGCUUUUGCUGAACUACUCCUGAAGAAAAGCAUCUUGAAAUUUGGACCUACAGUUUCAGAAGUUU